UCUGAGGCAUUGCUAAGUCUCCCAUCUUCUCCGUUGGCAACUUCUUGAUCAAUAAACCUUUCUUUACUCCGAAUGCUGACGUUUCGAGAUUUGGCCUUUUGAGGCAUUGGACACAUAAACCAGAGUUUGAUAACACAAAUACCUUAAUAUAUUAGCUGAUGACUCCUCAGUGGCUGAAACAAAACAGUCCAAGAGAACUAGUGGAUGCUUAUCACAAGUUUCCUGGAGAGCCGAGCAUGUGAAAUCUUUUAGAUCCCUGCAUGAUCCACAUCUGGGCAAUGAAGGAAAGAAGCCCUACACAUGUCCUUUGCUUUUGCAAACUGUGGGAAUUUCAGCUUUUUGCAGUCUCCUCGUUGUUUGUAGGACUCACCUAUGCUGGAUGUCCUUUGUUAUUUUGAGACCUUCAUGUCCUGGGAGACUCCAGUUUGUUGGAACCAGAAGAAGAUGGUGGUAGCUAGCCAGAAUAGUGAGUGCGUAGGUAUGUGCGACGAUACCUUAUAUUGGCUCACUGGUGAGCUGCCAACACUUACGGAGGAAGUUAUAAAAUAAUAAGAAGCAACAAAAGCAGAAAACAAUGAAAACUUGCCCUGAGUGUUUAUUAGAAUUGAUUUAUUGAUAUUCUGGGAGAAAGAUGAGAUUACUGGCAAGAAGACAUUAAAAACAGGGGCUUCUGGAACUUCUUUGAUUCACUAUAUUAUAGAACGAUUCUUUUGGAGUAAAGUGAAUUUGCUACUUUAAUUUUGUAAUCAGGCAAUCUAAGAGUUACUUGCUUCCAUUUCUUACUUCAAAUGCCCAAUUUGUCAAAUUCCAGACAAGAUGUGGUGUUUCCAGAUUAAUUGUGGAUUAUCGAUGAAUAAAUGAGAUUAUAACAA